rnacentral:rRNA from 1 species
AGGGGAAUAUUGCACAAUGGAGGGAACUCUGAUGCAGCGACGCCGCGUGAACGAAGAAGGCUUUCGAGUCGUAAAGUUCUUUUAUAUGGGAAGAUAAUGACGGUACCAUAAGAAAAAGCCCCGGCUAACUACGUGACAGCAGCCGCGGUAAUACGUAGGGGGCUAGCGUUGUCCGGAAUCACUGGGCGUAAAGGGUUCGCAGGCGGAAAUGCAAGUCAGGUGUAAAAGGCAGUAGCUUAACUACUGUAAGCAUUUGAAACUGCAUAUCUUGAGAAGAGUAGAGGUAAGUGGAAUUUUUAGUGUAGCGGUGAAAUGCGUAGAUAUUAAAAAGAAUACCGGUGGCGAAGGCGACUUACUGGGCUCAUUCUGACGCUGAGGAACGAAAGCGUGGGUAGCAAACAGG